rnacentral:lncRNA from 1 species
CAAACAAAAGUCGAGCUUGGGAACCAAGCUAGUUGGGUCACGCUUCCUACUCGAAGCACACAAGGAACAAAUGUGAAAUUUGAAAUCUGAUUCGUAGUGGCUGGGCGCGCCAAGGUUUUGGCUGGGCGUAGAUUACAAUCCAGAAGGUAUUUUUCUUUGUAUUUCUAAUCUAGAAGCAUAGUUGCCAAAUCUAGAAAAUACUCCUUCUUCUCCCCUUUUUAGCUCCUUUGUUUUCCUUGGCUUUUCAAGCUUCUAGGGUGGUUCAACCAUGGUUUCAAGAAAAUCAAGAAAGAGCCUUUAAAAGUCCUUCUUUAACUUCUCUUUCUUAGCCUUAGCUUAAGUUGGUACUCCUUUGGAUGGCUUCCCUAGUUAGGUUUACAUCAAGAAACAUGUUAUAUUAGUUUGCAACCCAUAUCACAAAGAGAGAACAUAUUUCAUACAAGAUGAAAAGUUCAAUAAAAUACUUGUUCUUUCAUUGUAGAUAGUGGGUCAUGCUAUAAUUGUUGUAGUACUAGGUCGGUGGAGAAGUUGGCCUUGAUUUUCUGGCCCCAAUCUAAACCUUACUAUUGGAAACAAGAUGACUCAGUUUCAACACCAAGAGGAGGGGGGGGGGGUGAAUUGGUGAGGUUCAAAAAUUAGAGUCUUUUCAAAAUAUUUUUCGCAAAGUAUAAACCUUUACAAAGUUUCUUGAAUCGCAAAGAAUGAAAAGUUUAAGUGCAACAAAAAUGUAAAGUUGACUACGUAAACAGUGAAGUCGACUUAAUGUGAAAGUGUAAGGAUAGAGAAAUCAAACGCAGACUUUUUAUACUGGUUUAGCCUCAAUGCAUAGAUCAAGUGUCCUUCCACAACCAGGAAGCAAAUGCACUAUAAUGGUCAAUUUUUAUACAACAAGGCUUUUAUAGAGACCUCCACGUCAAAAAUAUAAAACACCUCUCUAACCCUCUAACCAAAAUAUAGGCAGCAACACAAAGAUCUACAGCAAGACAUUCGCUCUUCUGCAAUCUUAAACCAACUUUGAACAAUCCUCAAAGUGUCAAAACUCCACGAGUCCACCUCCUGUAAUCCCAACAGGAUAACAACAAUCUUUCCAAAGAUUGAUAGAAAUCUUGAUCAACUGAUGAACACCACAAUGUGCAGAAUAUGAUCAACCAGUAAGCACAUAAUUCUUUCUCCUUCAGAACCUCUUCAAAGAAAGAUCUCCACCAUCUUCUUGAUGAGUUCUUGGAGCAUUUAAUCACAGGAUCUCAAUCUGAAAUAGAAAAUGAAAAUGUUAGUUCAACCAAAGUCGUUGUGAUCAGCAGAGUCACGUCUAUUUAUAGUUUUCUAUAAAUCAGAUGCUCUUGUAGUCGAUUGUGUUACUAAUGUAGUCCACUGUCACUAGACAAUUAUAACAGAUAAGCAAAACAACAACGAUCAUAACAACCAAAUUGAUUUCGCAUUUAAUACAAUUGACUUUCAUUUAAUGCUUUAACAGACAAAUGAAAUAUAGUUGUUAUAGUACAAAAGCAUUAACAGAAUUUCAAAUCAAAUAACUAACUAAGUCGGAUCCACUGCGGAUGUAGUCGACUUAGACACUUCAAUUUAGUUUGAAAAUCCUUUCAAUGCAAAAUCACACAUAACACUACUUUUGAAAAUCUGUGCAUAGUCACGAGUUUUAAUCGACUUACUUCAUAAUGAAGUCGACUUAAAACUUGCAGUUAUACCACACAAUAUAAGUUCAUCAAAGUGCAUGUGGUUUUCUUUUCAUAAACAUAUGCAAUGCAAUCAUAAGUGAUGUAUCUGAUAUAAGAUCAAUGAAUAUGCAUUCAUAUAUGAGAAUCAACACAAACAUGUUCAUUAAAAUAUCAUCCACAAUAAAGAAUAAUACAUGUAACACAUAACAAUACAUGUGUUAUUAAUAAUGUGUUGUCAUCAUCAAAAACCAGAGUACUAUGAGAUUAAGGUUCAGCUAAACCAGUGCUUCCCUUAUCAACAAUCUCAACAAUCUCCCCCUUUUUUGAUGAUGCACAACUAUGAUUAAUAACAAAUCAUAUUUGUACACAAACAACACAUAAAAUCAGUCAAGUAAUCUCUAAAAUCAGAGCUAACAUAAGCAAUCAGUAAGAACAAGUGAUUAAAUGAUUUUUCCAAUAUAUCAGAGCAAACAAAAGAUAAUUACAACAUGAUUUUGUUGGUUGGUAUCAGGAGAGAGUAUAACGCAGCGGAAUAAAACUUAAACUAGCGGAAAUUGUGUUCGGUCACUUUUUAAAUUAAAAUGGUCAGUUUUUAGAAAUAAAUUUUUUAAGAGAAAAUUUAUCAAACAGUUGAUGUGCAAAUAAAAAAUAAAGAGUGUAGGGAGUAGAAAAAUUACACAAGUAAUUUUUAUACUAGUUCGAUUCAAAAGAAUCUACGUCCAGUCGUUAAUCACUAUAAAAAGUGAUUAACAGUUUCACUAAAAACAGUUUUACAGAUUACAACAGUAAUGAAUAAAAAUAUGAUUAAACCUUCCUUCGACGAAUAAACCGGAAGAUAAACACUCUGCCCAGCCGAAGAGAACCGCUUCGACUAUCGACACACGAAACGCAAGCUUCUCCUAUUCACGAGACCAAGCAAGGGAACUUGAACUAUAGCUUUUGAGAACUUCCUCUGACAAACAGUAUUCUCUAAGAGCUUUCUGUUCAACAACGUUACUUCUGAAGUUCUCAGACGACCAAUAUAUAACCAGCCAGUCUGAAUAUCAAAGGUCAAGUCCCAACUGCCAGUAAUAAUCGAUUAUUGUAAGUGAUAAUCGAUUAUUCAAGUCCGUUAUAGGUUUUGCAAAAAUAACUUAGGCAGUUUUAAAAACAGACCUGGUAUAAUCGAUUAUUUGGAGUGAUAAUCGGUUAUUCCUAAAAGACUCAUGAUAAUCGAUUAUUGCUCCUCAUAAUCGAUUAUUUCAGUACAUUAUCUAAAAUACAAGUUUUACAAAUUUUGAGGACUUUCCUACUACAUUCAUAUUCUACAAAUUGCUUUUAAAAAAUAUCUCAAAUAUCUUCUUCAGGUUAAACUUCUUGUAGCAUCAUCAAAACAAUUUACUUCAAGAUUUACCAAUGCUCCUCAUUGGUAACAAUCUCCACCUUUUUUAUGAUGAUCAGAAAUUCAAGUUUUAAAAGGAACUUUGGCCUUCUUGCAAAACAUACUAAGCUAACAAACAAUAACAGAGUUAGUAAUACCUGUAUCAACUUAUAUUAUACUUCUCCCCCUUUUUUAUCAUAAGCAAAAAGAUCAAUGUAAAGAGCUUCCCCUUAAUAUGAUCUCCCCCCUCAAUUAAACAAUGUAUGGAUGAAAAACGAAAAGAUCAUAUUAUUCAUAAAGGAAAGGAGUACAUUAGCAUCACAAAGAGAAACAUACUAGCAACAAAAACAUAGAAGCAUCAACAAUCAAACGACAAAACAUACUAACAUAGAAACCUAUCUCUAAAACUCAGGGCUAGGGGAUCUCUCAGGUGGUUGAAUGUUUAGAUGAGUUUCAAUGUUGGUGAGGCGAACAUCAAGAUCAAGAAAUUGAUCAACCACGUAUUCGUCAUGAGCUUGCUGCCACUCAUAAAUUUCUUCAAAGUGAGUUUCCUAUGCUAGACUCAAUUCCUCUAAUUGCUUAGAUAAUCUAGCAAAAUUUUCUUCCAUGGUAAGUGAGGAGGAUGAGGGCAUGUUAGAAGGAGCAGCAUCAGAAGGAGGAGCAGCACUAACUGGUUCUGCCAUGUGAGUAUCCAUGUCAUCUUCUUCACCAGAAUCUGAAUGAUCAUCAUCUUUAUGAAUAACUACAUUUCCCCGAGUAACAAAUCCCAUUUGGUGUAAAGUGGUGUCUCUAAUCUCAAAACCAAUAGCUUGAAGUGCUUGAACAUGUUCUCCUUCCACAUUAACACCUUUGUAUUCUAGAAUUCUAGAGAUGAGAUGAGCAUAAGGAAAAUUAUAAGAGCAAUAUUUCUUAGCUUUUACCAUGGUGUUAGCAAUAAGAGUAGACCAAUCAAUAUGUAUGUGAUUUAAGAUCCCAUACAGAAGAAGCAGAUCUUGCUCAUAACAUUGAGCAUGGUUUGUGGCUCUUGGACACAAUAUCCACACAAUUAAGUAGUGGAUCGACCUCUCUUCAACUUUAAAACCACCAACAAGCAGUUGCCUACGGUUGGUCUGCUGUUCAGGAUGGCGCAAAAAAGAUUGAAAGGCCAGUAGUCGGUUGAAGUCUGGAUGAACUUUCACAACAUCAUCCCAGAUGGUAAGUUGAGCAACGUUGGUCCACACGUCAUCAUCCAAAAUUAUGCGGUCGCCUUUGACUUUGGUUGAUAUAAUCCCAUCUCGAUAUCUUAAGUUGAAGUAGAAGACUCUUAUGAGAUCGGGAUAAAUGCAACCUUUUUGCUCCACUAAGUUUGUGAGACCUUGACCACCAAAAAGAUCCGAAAACUGAAAUCCGUAGAAACGAUAAAAGUCAAGGAGAAUAUACUUUACCGCCAUGAUUCGCCUCUCUUGUCAAGGAUUGACAUAAUCCUCAUGCUUUUCUUGAUCCGAAAUCCACCCAUCAAUGGUUGCAGGACGUGGUUCAGAAGAAGAAGAUGCAACAGCAGCUCUGCGGCGAUGUCUUCUUGGUUCAGCCAUGGAAGGAGUUUGAAGUAGUGAGACUUUGAGAAAGUGAAGAGAAAUGAAGAGAUUUUGCUUUAGAUUUGAUUUCAGCAGUUUCUGGGUGCAAAGGAGUGACCAUUAAUCGAUUAUAGGAGGCUAUUUAUAAGGGAAAUCAGAAAACUAGCCGUUUAUAGCCGUUUAUGGCCAUUAUAGAGCUCUCAUACGGCUCUAUUUUUGGAACUGUGCGCGUGAUAAUCGAUUAUAGUUAGUGAUAAUCAAUUAUUAGUUCAUCAGUCACUUACCAGAAAUUGCACAAUAAUCGAUUAUGCCUGAAGAUAAUCGAUUAUUUGUUCAUAAUUUUCCAGAUUUGAGUUUGAGUUUGAAUAAUUGAUUAUUCCAUGAGAUAAUCGAUUAUUUGCAAUUAAGGGAUUCCUAAAAGCCAAAAUUAAUCGAUUAUUACCUUGUGAUAAUCGAUUAAAAACGCUAAUCUUGCAAAAAUUUAAAAAUUUUCAUAAGCUUUGAUCCUAAGACAUAUAUAACACUCUUAGCUUUCUUCUAAACUCAAAAUCUAUCCUUAGGCAGUGCCUUUGUGAAAAUAUCAGCUAAUUGAUGUAAGGUAUCAAUAUAUUCAAUUUGACAAUCUCCCUUUUGAAUAUGGUCUCUUAAGAAAUGAUGUCUAAUCUCAAUGUGCUUAGUUCUUGAAUGCAUUAUCAGGUUCUUAGUUAGAUUUAUAGCACUAGUAUUAUCACAUUUUAAUGGAAUAUGAUCAAGGAAGAUCUCAAAGUCUUCCAGUUGUUGUUUCAUCCACAGAAUUUGGGCACAACAAUUGCCAGCAGCAAUAUAUUCAGCUUCAGCGGUAGACAAAGCUAGACACACUUGUUUCUUUGAUUGCCAAGACACUAAAGAACAACCUAGAAAAUGACAGGUUCCACUAGUACUUUUUCUAUCAAUUUUACAACCCCCAUAAUCUACAUAAGAAUAACCUAUUAAACUAGGUGAAGCACCAGAGGGAUACCAAAGUCCAAAAGACGUAGUUCCCUUAAGGUAUUUUAAGAUUCUCUUGACAAUAGUCAAAUGAGAUUCUUUAGGUUUGGCUUGGUUCCUAGCACACACAUACACUUUGCAUAAUAUCUGGUCUACUAGAAGUUAGGUACAACAAAGAUCCUAUCAUACCUCUAAACAUAGUUUCAUUUACUCCUUCUCCAGAUUCAUCCUUAUCUAAAUAACAUGAAGUUGCCAUAGGUUUAUUUGCCUCUUUACAAGUAUCCAUACCAAAUUUCUUAAGAACUUCCCUACAAUACUUUGUUUGGGAGAUAAAAGUACCUCCAUUCAUUUGCUUUAUUUGUAAUCCUAAGAAGAAAUUUAGUUCAUCCAUCAUAGACAUCUCAAACUCACCUUGCAUUAUUUUUGCCAAUUCUUCACACAGAAUUAUCAGUAGACCCAAAUAUAAUAUCAUCUGCAUAAACUUGCACAAUUAGGAUGUGUUUAUCUCCUUCCUUAAUAAAUAAGGUUGAAUCAACCUUACCUCUAGAGAAGUCAUUAUCAAUUAAGAAGGUACUAAGUCUUUCAUACCAAGACCUAGGUGCCUGUUUAAGAUCAUACAGAGCCUUUUUCAAUUUGUAAACAUGAUCAGGAUAUUUGAAAUCCUCAAAACCAGGAGGUUGACUUACAUACACUUCCUCUUUUAUAAAACCAUUUAAAAAAGAACUUUUUACAUCCAUUUGAUAUAGUUUAAAUUUCAUCAAAGAUGCAUAUGCAAGUAAUAAUCUAAUUGCUUCUAACCUGGCUACUGGUGCAUAUGUUGCAUCAUAGUCUAUACAACUAGCCUUGCUUUGUUCUUUGUGAUGUUUCCAUCCUUAUCAAGCUUGUUUCUAAAUACCCAUUUUGUUCCUAUGACUUGAUACUCAUCUUGCUUAGGAAUAAGUUCCCAAACUUCAUUCCUUUCCAAUUGAUUUCGCUCUUCUUGCAUAGCAACAAACCACUUAUAAUCUUGAAGAGCUUCCUUUAUGUUCUUGGGUUCUAUUUGAGACACAAAAGCUACAGUUAAACAGAAAUUAUUAAGAUUGUGUCUAGUAGUUACCCCUUUUGAUAUAUCUCUAAUGAUGUUGUCCAAAGAUAGUCCUCUUGGUUGUUAAUAGCUUUUAGAAUCAACAACUAGAGGUGUUUCUCGUUUAGAUGCAUAUCUUCAAGAGCUUCCCUUAAAUAAUCCUCAUCACCUGCAAUAGGUUUAUUUAACUCAAGAGGAUUUAACUCAAUGUCCACAAUCUCAUCAAAGACAACAUUCAUUGAUUCUUCAAUUAUCAAAGUUCUUCUAUUGAAUACUCUACAUGCUUUGCUAGUCAAAGAAUAUCCUAGGAAAAUUGCUUCAUCAGAUUUUGCAUCAAAUUUACCAAGAUUAUCUUUACCAUUAUUCAAGACAAAGCAUUUGCGUCCAAAAACUUUCAAGUGAGCCACAUUUGGUUUUCUACCAUUUAACAAUUCAUAAGAAGUUAAUUUUAAAAUUGGCCUAAUAAGCAUCAUGUUCAACACAUAACAAGCAGUACUAACUGCAUCAACCCAAAAAUAUUUUGGCACAUUAGAUUCAUUCAUAAGCGUUCUAGCUAAUUCUUCUAACGAUCUAUUUUUCCUUUCAACAACACCAUUUUGUUGGGGAGUUCUAGGUGCAGAAAAGUUAUGUGCAAUGCCAUAUUCUUCACAAAAUUUUUCAAAAGAUUCAUUUUCAAAUUCACCACCGUGAUCACUUCUCAAGGUUUUGAUUUUCAAAUCUUUUUCAUUUUGAAUACGUUUAGCAAAAGAUUUAAAAGCUCUAAAGGCUUCACUUUUCAAAGUUAAAAAGAAAGUCCAAGUAAAUCUAGUAUAAUCAUCGAUAAUUACAAGAACAUAGUAAUUUCCACCAAAACUUUUAAUUCUGGACAGACCAAAUAAGUCCAUAUGCAACAGUUCUAAAGGUUUUGAAGUAGAAAUCAUUCUUUUGGAUGAAAAUGAAGAUUUGGUUUGUUUACCUUUUUGACAUGCAGAGCAUAAUUUGUCUUUCUUAAAUUUCAGUUUAGGCAAACCAAUUACAAGAUCUUUUGAAAUUAGUUUAUUCAGAUGUUGCAUAUGAAUAUAUGCAGCUCUUUUAUGCCAUAACCAAGGAUUGUCCUCUUUAGCAACUAAUCAUGUUAUACUAUGACUAGAUGUACUUUCAAUAUCAAUUAGAUAAAUAUUGUUAUGCCUAACACCUUGCAAAGCAAUAUCAGUAGAAUCUUUAAAAUAUGCAGUGCAUUUAUCACUUUCUAAUGUUACCUUGAGACCUUUGUCACAUAAUUGACUUAUGCUGAGGAGAUUAUGCUUGAGGCCUUCAAAAUACAGGACAUCUCUUAUAGUCAAUGUGUUUCCUCCUCCAAUGUCUCCGGUACCCAUGAUUCUACCUUUGUUGUUAUCCCCAUAAGUUACAAAUCCUUGCUUUUUCUUCUCAAAAGAGAUAAAACUUUUCUUGUCAUCGGUCAUGUGUCUUGAACAUCAACUGUCAAGAUACCACAAUGACUUCUUUGACUUAGUAGGUUCUUGACUUCCAGUAUCUUCUGAGUCACCCAUUAGACAUAUAUUUGCUUCUUCAUCUGAAUCACUUGAGCUUGUUGAGCUAGAUGCAUUGUCUUCCCAAGCUAUGUAAGCUUUCUUUUUCUUUGGAAACUUUCUUUCCUUCUUUUCUUCACUUUUCUUGCUUUUUGGACAUUCAGUUUUCAUAUGUCCUCUUUCUCCACAUCCGUAGCAUUUAACACUUGAAGGAGAUUCUUGAUUUUCUCUCCUUUCUUUAUGAAAUUUGUCCUUACUUUUUUCUUUCAUAAACUUAGCAAAUUUCUUUAUCAUGAGAUUCAUGUUCUCCUCAUCAUCAGAAUCAUCAUCUUCAAACUUUUUAGAGCUCUUGCCUUUCGAGAUCUCGAAUUUGAAGGCAAGUGUCUUCCUUUUACCUUGAUCCUCUUCAGUAGGUAAUCUUUUUAGUUCAAGCUCAUGCUCACGAAGCUUUCCAAAUAGAAUUGGCAUCGUCAUUUGAGAGAGAUUUUGUGACUCCGAAAUGGCAGUCACCUUUGGUUGCCAAGACCUAUCCAAUGAUUUCAAAAUUUUGACAUUUAAUUCAUCAGUAUCAAAAGUCUUACCCAAACCAGUCAAGUGGUUCACUAUAUGAGUGAAAUGCUUUUGGACAUCAAAAAUAGUUUCUCCAGGUUGCAUUCUAAACAUCUCAUAUUCCUGGAUGAAAGUGUUCUUCCUUGCACGUUUCACGUCCUCUGUACCCUCAUGUGUGACUCUGAGGAGUUCCCACAUUUCCUCUGCUGUCUUACACACUGAAAUUCUAUAAAAUUCAUCAAGUACAAUAGCAGAUGAAAUAAUGUUACGAGCUUUAAUAUCAAACUCAGCUCAUCUAUUUUCUUCAGCAGUUCAGUUAAAAUAUGGUUUUUCUACCUCUACACCAUCAACUGUACUUUUAGGAAUAAAGGACCAUUUUGUACUACUUCCCAGAUGCCUUUGUCAACAGACCCCAUAAAGAUUUCCAUUCUGACUUUCCAGAAUGCAAAACUAUCACCAGUAAAAAGUGGUGGUCUAUUAAUAGAAGCACCCUCGGCAUAUACAAGUAUUUGAUUAUGACCGGCCAUUUUUGCAAAUUUUGAAAAACUAUCAAAGCAAGCUUUGAUACCAAUUGUUGGUUGGUAUAAGCCAGAGAGUAUAAUGCAACAGAAUAAAACUUAAAGUAGCGGAAAGCGUGUUCAGUCACUUUUUAAAUUAAAAUGGUCAAUUUUAGAAAUAAAUUUUGUAAGAGAAAAUUUAUCGAACAAUUGAUGUGCAAAUAAAAAAUAAAGAGUGUAGGGAGUAGAAAAAUUACACAAGUAAUUUUUAUACUGGUUCAAUUCAAAAGAAUCUACUUCCAGUCAUUAAUCACUAUAAAAAGUGAUUAACAGUUUCACUAAAAACAUUUACAGAUAACAACAGUAAUGAAUAAAAAUAUGAUUAAACCUUCCUUCGACGAACGAACCGGAAGAUGAACACUCUGUCAACUCGAAGAGAACCGCUCCGACUAUCGACACACGAAAAACGAGCUUCUCCUAUUCACGAGAACAGGUAGAGCACCUUGCUAACUCGAAGAGAACCGCUCCGACUAUCGGCACAUGAAACGCGAGCUUCUCCUAUUCACGAGACCAAGCAAGGGAACUUGAACUAUAGCUUUUGAGAACUUCCUCUAACAAACAAUUUUCUGUAAGAGCUUUCUGUUCAACAAAGUUACUUCUGAAGUUCUCAAAAGUCCAAUAUAUAACCAACCAGUCUUAAUAUCAAAGGUUAAGUCCCAACUGCCAAUAAUAAUCGAUUAUUGUAAGUGAUAAUCGAUUAUUCAAGUCCGUUAUAAGUUUUUCAAAAAUAAUUUAGGCAGUUUUAAAAACAGACCUGUGAUAAUCGAUUAUUUGGAGUGAUAAUCGAUUAUUCUUGAAAGACUCGUGAUAAUCGAUUAUUGCUCCUCAUAAUCGAUUAUUUUAGUACAUUAUCUAAAAUACAAGUUUUACAAAUUUUGAGGACUUUCCUACUACAUUCAUAUUCUACAAAUUGCUUUUAAAAAUAUCUCAAAUAUCUUCUUCAGGUUAAGCUUCUUGUAGCAUCAUCAAAACAAUUUACUUCAAGAUUUACCAAUGCUCCUCAUUGGUAACAGAUUUAGCAUAGUUACUCUGAAUAAACAGUAUCAAGCAACCACAUAUCAAGCAAAAUAAGUAGAUAAUUAAUCAAACUUUUCAAGCUUCUCAAACUUUUCUCCCCCUUUGUGAAUUGGCAAAAAAGGUUUGCUUUUAGAUAUGGAUAUGCUAAUAAAAUGAAAUACCAGAGAUGCAUCAGUGUAAAUUAAUGUAAACUAAUUAAACAUUCAAAUAUGCUCCCCCUAUCACAGAUAUUCACAUGAGAUAGAUAAACUCCCCCUAAUGUGUAGGCAUGUGAAAAAUCUAUGCAAUCAAGUAAUUUAAUAUUCAUCCAAGCAGAUUCAAUCAAGAAAUUUAGAGCUAAUGAAUUUGAACCAAAAAAACUAAUUUCAUUACUAGUCCAAAAGAUAUUACAAUGAUUAACUGGAACAAGACAAGCGUAAUGACAGUCUAAGCCAUUCUUAAAAGAAAAACUAAAAGCAAAGACACAAUUAAUUUUUCUUUCACUUUUUGUUAACAAAAUCACUAAGAACCAUUUAACUCCUACAAUCAUCAAUAUUCUCAUCUUCAGUACAUUCAUCUGUAAUCCUUUUUGAAGAUGAAUCAGGAGUGCAUUCUUCUUCAGAUUCUUCAUCAUUCAACUCAGUAUUCACUUUAGUUGACUGAGAAUUGUCUCUCAAUUCUUCAAGCAUCUUUCUUAAUGCUUUUAAUUCCCUCAACACAAUCCUUUCAAAUUCUGAUCUUGCCCUAUAGUGAGUAGCUUCAGCUGAUUAUGGUUCAUUAUCAUUGUUUGGAGCUUCAUUCUCAAACACUCAACCUUCAGGUGUUUUCAACAUCUGCAUUAAGUGCAGAGCAGAUUUGUCAAUAAGACUUUCUGUUGUAUGACUCACUUGACUCGCCUAUGCAAUCAAUUCCAAAGUGGAUUAGAAUCUUUGAGAUAAAAACACAGUAUAGCAAUUUUGCAGAUUCUAGUCUUGUGACUUUCAACAUAUUGUCCGAUAUUGCUGCAGGCCAAUCUACUUGAAUAUUUUCCUUAAGUGCUUUCAGCAAAAAUAAGUCUUCAGUAGUAGCUUGGGCGUGAUUUCCUCCCAUUGGCAUUAGGAUCCAAGAGAUGACAAAGGCUGCAAGUUGAUCAUUUAUUUUCAUUCUCCCAGUCUUGUAAUUUGAAUAGUCUUGACAGUCAUCUGGAUUUCUCAGACAAUCCUGAUAAACUAUAAACUUAUGGAACCCCUCAAUGCCCAGAUGGCAUUUUUCUCCUUCUAUCCGGAGUCCUGCUAACUCUGACCAUACUUCAUUUGUAAGUUUGAUCUCGACCCCCUUCACUCUUAAACAAAGAGUAUCCUCUUCAAUCCUCAGAUUGCAAUACAAGACUUUAACUAGGUCUGGAUACCAGGGACUUGCCAUUUCAACAAACUUCUUCAACCCCUAUCGUUUCCGCCAAUCCUGAAAUUCAAAUCCUUCUUCUUUGAAGAAUCUCAACUUUGGAAACUUAUGAGUAAUCAGGCUUCUCAUCUUCCAUCAAUCUAGAAAUUUCGUCUGCAUUUCAUCAUCGUUAAUCCAUCCAUUUAAAUCACAGACACGUCUCAAAUUCUUCUGACCGAUAGAUUUCACUCUCUUGCAUUGAGCUUAGCUGGAGGCCAUUUCUUGUGAGUGAAGAAAGAAAGCUUAGAUUGAAACAGAGAGAAUGUAGUGAUUUUGAGAAUACUGUGAUGUUUAGUGAUAUAUUACGUAGAGAUUAGGUUAUAUACUAAUCCUAAAUCAAAUUUGGAGGGAACAAAUUCGUAAAAACAAUUUGGCACAAAACGAUUUAAUUGAAAUUUGAAUUUUGACAACACAGUGAAAACAAAGUCAAUUUUGAUAAAAACCAAGUUGACUACUAUAUGACAUGAAGUUUCCAAAACAGAUACAUACAUACAGAGACACAUAUUCGACUAUGCUCAUAAUCAAGUUAUUAUAGUUCGAAAAAUUUGAUUUUCACACAAAUCAUUCAGACAAUCAAUCAUACAAUCAUCAAACAAUCAUAUGUCAAACAAUCAAUCUUUUCAUGCAUAAUGCAGUAAGAUAAUACAUGUUACCAGUUAUAGACACUCAAGAUGGUUGAAAUAGCCAUGUUAGUUCAUCCUUGAGUUCUCACUGCACCUGUUUCAAAUCCUGCAAAACAGUUCAAGUUUUUGAUACAGGUACCCAUUUAAAUUUGGGUCUUUGAUUGUCAAUUGUAGCCAGAUAUUCAUUAGGUAUCCACACGUAUAAUCCUUUAGGAACUCCAACUCUUCUGUAAUAACAAUUUCUAAUAGUGUGACCAAUACUAUUACAAUAAAAGCAAGCAUGUUUAACAGGUUUGCUUAAAUCAGAGAAUUUCCUUGUAUUGGUUCUAUUAGAAUUAGCUUUAUAACCAAUGUCUUGUCUGUUAAUUGCUCUACCAGUAGAUUUUAAUGCAGCAUUCAAAUUAUCUCUACCCUGUGUAAAUUUGGCUAGCGUGCUAGUCAAGUAAUCUAUUUGUUUUGCAUGAGUAGGGCAUUUUUCACAUUCUUUCUCUACUGUAAUAGUUUCAAUUUUAACCUUCUUAGCAGAUAAUAAGGCUUCAUUUAACUCUUUCUACAGUUUCUCAUUAUCAGCGACAAGAUUAUUAAUCCUAUGUUCAUAAUCUUUUCUAUCAGAGUUAAGUCGAUUAGCCUUGUACUGGAGUCACAUAGCUUCAACAUGAAUUUCUUUGAAGGCAUCCAACAAUAGGUCGUAUUUGACUUUUACCGGUUCUUGCUCAAACUCUGUGUCACUGUCGUAGUCAGCAAAUGAUGCCCCAGUCAUAUAGCAGAUGUUUGAUUCCUCAUCAUGAUCAACAUCUUCAUCACUUAAUGUAUCAGAAUCAUUGUUUUCCCAUGCAAUAUAAGCUCCUUUCUACUUUCUGGUUUUGUCCUGAGGAAACUUUCUAUUGGCUUUCUACUUCGGCUUCAGGUCUGGACAAUCUGGUUUGAUGUGUCCUUCUUUCCCACAUUCAUAGCAUUGAAUAGCACUUGACCUGAAAGCUUUCUUGGCUUUGCUGUAACCUGCAUGGUUAGUAAGUUGACUGUUAUUUUUUAUAAGUCAAUUAAAUUUCCUUACCACCAUGGUCAUCAAUUCAUUGUUGUCCGUCUCAGCAUCUGAAUCAUCCUCUUACUUUGAGGCUUUCUUGAUUGUUACUUUUAGUGCAAUGGACUUCUUCUCUUCAAUCUCUUCUUCGUCCUUCAAUCUUCCAAGUUCCAGCUCAUGCUCUCUUAAUUUUCCAAACAAUGUAGCCAUGUUCGUGCUGGUCAGAUCUUUGGACUCAAAGAUUUCUAUGACUUUGGGUUGCCAGUUUCUGUUCAGACUUUUCAGUAUCUUGAUAUUGAUUUCUUCUUUGUCAAAACUUUUCCAAGAGCCAUAAUAUGAUUUACUAUAUGAGUGAAUUUUUUCUGGACUUCAUAGAUUUUUUCACCAGUCUUCAUCCUAAAAAGCUCAUACUCUUGAAUCAAUGAAUUGUUUCUUGCUCUCUUGACUUCAUCAGUGCCCUCAUGAGUGACUUCCAAGACAUCCCACAUUUCCUUAGCAGAUUUGCAUUGAGCUAUCCUGAAAAAUUCAUUAACAGUUAGUGUAAAGGCAAUGAUAUUUCUAGCUUUGACAUCAUAUUGUGCUUUCCUAUUCUCUUCUUGAGACCACUCAGAAAAAAUUUUCAAAACAAUUUUUCCAUCAAUAAUUUGAGUUGGCUCAAAAGGACCAUUCAAACCUGCAUCCCAAAUUCCUCUAUCCACGGAUUCAAGAAAAAUUUUCAUUCUAAUUUUCCAAAAAGGAUAAUUUUCACUCGCAAACAGUGGUGGUGUUUUUGUAGAUGCACCAUCACAAAAAGUUUGAAAACUAGAAGCCAUUAUCCAGGAAUAUAGUCAAUUCAAGGAAAACAGAAGUCGACUAGUUAGGUUUACCAUCAGAAACAUGUUAUAUUAGUCUGCAACCCAUAUCACAAAAACAGAACAUAUUUCAUACAAGAUGAAAAGUUGAAUGAAAUACUUGUUCUUUCAUUAUAGAUAGUGGGUCAUGCUAUAAUUGUUGUAGUACUAGGUUCGUGGAGAAGUUGACCUUGAUUGUCUGCCCCAAUCUAAACCUUACUUUAAGUUUUUUGGUUUAAUUGAUUAUAAAAAAAAAAAGAGAAUGGAUUAUACUAUUUUUUUGAUUAACUUUUUCAGGUUAGAAUAAAAUAAAUUUGUGAAUACAUUAUAUGAAGUACUCAACCAGGUUAGAAUAAAUACAUUGUAAAAACUUAACAAUAGAUCUUCAUCAUCUUCAAACAUUAUAGAAACUUCUUCAUUGCAUAACUUGAGUCUUCCCUUUAAUUUCAACAAAAAAAUAUAGGUUUAAUACCUAUUUUGGUCCCUUUUUUGGGAGAGUUUGUUCAAAGUGGUCUUCCCUUUUUAAAAAAGUUCACUAAAGUCCUACAUUUUGCAAAAACUGAACAAGUUAGUCCUUUUUACUUACGGCGUUAAUUUUUUAACGACAGAGCUGUCCAGUUGGCAAAUGUUUGAUGAAGUGUAAAAUGUUUGAUGAGUUGUCCAGCAAAACAAAUUCCAAGCAGUCUUAAUUUCUCCAGCUUUGACCCUCAAAGACUCAUUGUUCAUCAUCUCUUUGAUUCUCUUAGCAAUCUCCUUCCCUUCCACCACCUUCUGUGUCCCCCACCCCCAUUCCUCAGCCCAAAUCUCAACCACACUCAUCCUAACCACCUAUGCAUUAAACUUCUGAUCUGCACCCUGAGGCCAUAUCAAAAUAUUCACUCCAUCCCUUAUAUUCUCAGUUACCGAAUUCCAACCUCCACGAGUCACAAACCCUCCAACUACAGGGUGCCCCAGAAUCUUUGUCUGGUCCACAAACUCCUUCACAACCACACCCUUCUCCCUCACCUUACGCAUCAACUCACUCCCCACCACAUCCUCCAAAUCCUCCUUCUCUUCUCUGUCAACCCUCGUCAACUUCACCACCCACAGGAAACUACACCCACAUUCUAUUAACCCCAAAGCCAUGUCCUUUAUCUGCUCUCUCCUUGUCUCAGUUCUGUUCCCCAAGCUAACAUACACCACCGACCCUUCAGCACAUUCAUUAAGCCACUCCAGUAUCCAACUCAUGCAACCCUUUUCACCUUCAUCUACAUUCUCAAACUCACACGUCAUUAAGGGAGCAAUUCCAUAUACCGAGGGCAGCCUUCUAACCACUUCUCCUUCAUUCAACGCUGCCAGUGCCUCUCCUUCCAGUUCCUCAAACGAGUUGAUGAAAACCCCAUUGUGCUUCUUAAGGUUGCGACCGUCCUCCAUGAUCAUUCUCUGAAAGGAGUUGAUACCUUCAAGAAGAAAAGGGGGAGGGACCGAGGAUCUUGGUAUUGGUAAUGUGAUACCCAGGAUAUGAAUAGCAUCACCAAAUGCGGACAAAUCGCCCACUGGAUUAAAGUGCUUUGAAGGUGAUUGAUGAACCCUAAAUCGCCCACGAAAAUCCCAAUUGCAAUUGGAAAUUUUACCCAAAUUGUUUCUGAUCACUUCACUUAAUUAUACCCAAAUACCCCAAAUUCAAUUUUUAUUUUAAUCCUAACUUUAUUAAAUUCCACGUCACAAUUAGUUUUUUUUUUAACACAUUACAGUGCCACCUCAUCAAACUUUGUCAGCUGGGCAACUCUGCCGUUAACAAAAUUAACGCCGUAAGCAAAAAGGACUAAUUUGCACAGUUUUUACAAAACGUAGGACUUUAGUGAACUUUUUAAAGAAGGGAGGACCACUUUGAACAAACCCUCCCAAAAGAGGAACCAAAAUAGGUAUUAAACCAAAAAUAUACAAGUUUUAUAUGUUCACAAAAAAAUUAAUCUUUACUGUGUUUUGGAUUGGGACACGUUGUUUAAUUUCCUAUACUGUUUGAAAAAAUGUUAAAUUUACCCUUAGACAUAUUCUUUUGUGGUCUGGAAUAAGUUAAAACUAGAUUUUUAUCUUGUGAUUUGAAAGUUCCGGUUUAAAUUGUGCAAAAACUUUGCCAAUAGUAAGAGAUAGAUUAUGCUUAUUUAUCUUGGUAGAAGAUCGAAGUCUCGUCCUUAAUUUUUAAAAAUAGAUUACACUUACUUUUGGAGAGGUAAAAACCAUACAUCAACACAAUGUUCAUAUGAUUUGAAUAGGUUUUGAUAUAUAUUAUUAUCAUGAUUAUUUUGUAUUUUAGUUAACUGUUUAUGUACGUAUUCACUAACAUCUAUCUAUAUAAAAUAAAAAAUAUUUAAAAAAAAUCAAUAAAAUUGCAAUAAAUAAAAAGUUCAUAGAUUUCUAUCCUAACACUUGUGCAUUGACACGGAUUAAUUAUUACACCACUUAACAUAAUACCAUCAAGAACAUGGAUCAAUUAUUAUAUGGUUGUUCUAUCUUAAUCAAUGGUUAUGAGUUUGAAUAAUUCUAUCAGUUGGAUUGGAUUUGUCUAAGAUACACAUACGUGUUUCAAAAAUAUUCUAUUUAACAUAUCAACAAAACCUAUACUUGUAAUAUUAACAUACAAUAGUAUUAUUUCAAUAAACUGAAUAAUCUAACAUUACUUAAGAUUUUUUAAAGACAAAAUCAAAACACAAUAUUUCAAAUGAGGUGAUUUCUCCCUAAUAAGAGCUUGGAUUGGAAGAGGUACUAUUGCUUAAGUAAUUUGAAUGUAAUGAAUGUAAAUAUACUAAUUAGGUAAUAAUAAUUUUAAAAAAGUAUUCUUUGACACACCUAACUUUUUUACAUUCAUUUGAUACUAUUCUUUUCUACUUUUUACUCUCUUCUUUCUUGAAAAAAUACAAAAUUUUAUACUUUUAUGACUAUUUUAGCCUCAUAUUCUGUGUCAAAUCAAUAUAAAAGUAUGUCAUGGUAUCAUUGUUCAUAUAUAACUUUAUAAAGAGUUACAACAAAAAUAAUACUUUAACUUUUAAUAUUUAAAUAACACGGUAGAUUUUAUUUAAUAUUUAUUAAGGAUGAAAGGAUAAUUUUGAAAGAAAAAAUUGAAACUCAAUUGAAUGUUUUCAUCAUGUGGACGUGGAUGUAUCAGUGUCCAAGUUACAAUUAACACAAAUGGUAUAGGCUGAUAAGCCUCUAGAUAUAAGGUAAUUGAGGAUAACGUUCUAAAUAUGGGACACGAAGACUAGGUCAAAGGGUUCUGAUUUUAGGUUAGAAUCAAAUGUUGGUGUCUCACACAUAUAAAUACCUAAAAUUUUCUAUGUCAACGUUGCUCAAGCCAAUUCUUGGGGCUUGCCCUUCGUCCUUGGCUUGUUCUUGCAAGCUGCAAUUGAAUUCGUUUUGAGAGUUCAAUAUGGCAGAGUUCGAAGAGCAAGUAAAGGUUGCAGCAAAGAAGACCACAGCUGCAGCGAAGAAAGCCAAGAAGGCUAUAGCUAAAGGUAGCAAGAAGGCUUAUGGUGCAUGCAAGAAAGGUUGGGCGAAGAUAAAACAAAGCAUCAAGGAGCACAAGGAGAAGAAUAAGAGAAUAGAAUAUUUGGGUGAUCGUCGUCGUUGAUGAGAUCAUUUUUCUUCAUAUUUGUUCAUUGUUCUUGUGGAUUGUCUGGUGAAAAUUAAUGAAUUUCAUUUACACCUUACGCAUGCAGCAUGAUUAUUGGUUCUUGUCUUUCUUAAUAUAAUAAUUUAUUGAUUCAAUGGGAAAGAAGUGCCGAAUUUGGAUCAGUGUUAUGUAUUGCUUGUUUAUGUUCUUUUCUUGUUGCAGCAUUUCGUUUCAGGUUUUACUUUUGAUGCAAUACGUCUAUCAUGUUAUAUGUUGCAUGCUUUUGUUCUAAUUAAAAUCAUAUAAGUGUAACUUUCAUUACACAUAUCUAGUUUAAAAAUGCAUAAAAUAUAGUAAAUAUAUAAUUGGAAUCCUACAAAUUCAAAAGAACUUGCAUUUUGGAUAUUUUUAAAAGGUGAUAAAAACAAUAAACUAUUUUAUGAAUAAGAAAAAAUAAAAAUUAGUAUCAAUCUCGUAAGAAUAUAAUAAUUUUCUAUAUUAUACAUGUUUCUGUUUCUUAGGUCAUUAUAUUGUAAAUAUAUGACUCUUAUAUACAUAUUCUUAUACACUGUCAAUCUUCAAUAAAUAUUGAGUGUUAAAAUUUAUGUCUAAACAUAUAAAAAAAUUAAGAUGACUAAAUAUAUUAAAAUUUUAAAAAUAUUUUAUAUAUCAUAUAUAUAUAUAUAUAUAUAUAUAUAUAUAUAUAUAUAUAUAUAUAUAUAUAUAUAUAUAUAUAUAUAUAUAUAUAUAUAUAUAUAUAUAUAUAAAUUGGGAGCCAAGCCCCCUGACUACGUUACAAUCCACCAUUGCUCACACAAUAUUUGUGUAGAUUUUUAAUGAAAUUUAACAUAUGGUUAUUUUUUCAAUUGUGAGAAUGAUCAAUUUGUUAAGAUACAUCCACACUUAUAAUCUGUUAAUGUAAUUUGGAUAAUGUCACUAUAAACUAUACUUAAAAUACUAUUAAUGGUGGUAUGUCGCUAUACCUAUUAUUCUAGGUGAUCCAAUCAAUCAAGAGUUCACAUUUCACUUUAAAGAUAAUAACAAAUACAAGAGAAACAUACUGAUGUAUCAAACACAACUCCUAAAAAAUUUAUUUCACGUACCAUAUAACUCAUAAUCCAUGAUAACUGAGAGAUACUAAUCACAUUGUCUGAGUUGAAAUAUUUAGGUUAUUGCAUGCACAUCUCAUGUUUUUACAUGUUAUAAUUACUAAAAAUAAAUGUUCAACUAUAGUCAAUAUUUAAAACCUGGUAUAAUCAUCAAUAAUGUCCAUAAGUAUGUAAAAAACACCAUUAAUAGCAUAUACGCAAUUACAUUAAGAAAAUUAUUUUGGAGACAAAACAACUAAUUUUCAUAUAUCAUGAUUAAUAUCACUUAACUAUUUAUUUGGAGUUGUUUGAACAAUACUAUAAAAAUCAUUUUCAUCAUUUCCAAUAUUAGGUAUAUUCAUAAAAAAAUUACAUGUUUAUAAAAUACCAUGUAAUUAAUAAAGUUUUUAUCUCUUGACAACUUGUAUAAUAUCUUUAAUAUUAUUGAUGGCUAAAAUUCUUUAGUUAUGUCGAUAGUUUACAUAUAGUUAAAAAUUCAUUGAUAAAAUUCUCGAUGAUAAAUUUUAUCGACAAUAACAAACCAAAUGAUCAAAAGGAAAGGUUUAGAAAGCUGGAUUGUCUCCUAGUAAGCGCUUCUUUAACGUCACUAGCUUGACAUCAUCUACAUCAUCAGAACAUCCAUCAAUAGAUGCUAAUAUUUCUUAUCUUCAUUGGUAUCCCUCAAUUGACACCAAUCUUUCUAAUCUUCAUCGGCAUCCAUCAAUAGAUGCCUAAUCACCUAACAUCCAUUAGUAGAUGUCUAGUCAAUGUCCUCUUCCAUAGCAGCAUCCAUCAGUAGAUGUUGUCAUUCAUCCUCCUCAUCAUAGCAACAUCCAUUAGUAGAUGUUGUAGAAGCAUCCAUCAAUAGAUGCUAUCAUUUCUACCAUCAGAAGCAGCAUUUAACCUAAAAAAAAACCUCAAACACACAAAGAAAAAAUCAAAUCAAAACCACACAAUUAAAUCAACUAAAAAGAAAAGUUCAAAAAAUUGGGCUAUCAUUCAUCAGUAGAUGUUGUUAUCUGAAUCCUCUUGUCAUCCCUUAGUAGAUGUUGUCCAGCAUCCAUCAGCAGAUGUUGUCAUUAAUGCAAAAAAAAAAAAGCUCAAAUCCACACCACACAACUAAAUAAAAAAACAAAAUUAGAAACCAAGUUGCCUCCCAGCAACCGCUUCUUUAACGUCACUAGCUUGACCCACUACAAUUACCAUAUGCCUCAAUUGUUCCCUUUUUCUGGAUAUUUUUUUCUUUUUGUUGAAUUUUUUCAGGAAUUUAAUAUAACCAAGAACCUGUUGUAGUGUCCCAAUCAUAGGAAUUUUAAUCUCCAAUUUAUUGUAGAUUUCCAUGAAACGCUUAAACUGUUUUUUCUUCUCCUUCCUAUGAUACUUCUUUGGGUGAGGAAUGGGUUUUUCAUAUGAUUCUUUCUUCUUUCUCUCAUCCUCUUCCUCUCUCUUUUUCUUUUCUUCCCUCUCUUUUUCCUCCUUGGAACACUCCUUAGGGUACAAAAGAUUUUUCUCAAAAUUUUUCUUUUCUCUCUCAACCUCUUCUUUUUCUUUUCUCUUCUUCUACAUUCUUCCCCUUUCCUUUUCUCUCAACCUCACUUUUUCUCUCUUUUUUUUCUUCCUAUUCCUCUACAUGUUUCUCGUUUUCACUCAACCUUUCUUCUUUUCUCUCUAUUUUUCUCUCUUCUAAAACUUUGUCACUUCUAGUGAUAAUGGCUUGACAUUCCUCCCUAGGGUUAACUUCCAUAUUGCCCCAAAAUCAUCCAGCUUCUGAAGUAUGUGACCAAGCUACGCCUCCAUCCUUCUAAGUGCCUCUUGAGUGCUUUUAUGAUAAGAAUCAGACAUCUGCAUUAAUUGUUGAAGUAUAUAAUCCAUCUUAGCCAUUCUUUCUGCUAAAGAGCGUUGUUGCUGCCAUUAUUAUUGUGGUAGUCUAUCAAAUUGCCCAGCAGCUUGCCCAAAUUGACUUUGACCCAUGCUUGAGUGAGGUAACAACCCGUGGUUGAAAUUACCUAAGUGCCCAUAUAAUUAACUUCUUGUCCAAAUUGCAUCCUGCAAGCACUAAACACAAAGCCCUAAAACACAUUGUUAGCACAAAAACAAAAAUAAACAUAAUAGAACACAAAAAUAAAAAUAAAAAUAAGAAAAAUAAAAAUAAAGUCAAAGUUAAUAAAGAAUCACACAAAUAGAAUAGUUUAAACCAUGAGUCCCUGGCAACGGCGCCAAAAAUUUGUUGAUGGAUCGACAAGUAUACUGAAUCGCACAAGUAAUAUAAAAUGGUAAGACCAAGUAUCGUGUCCCAAGAGACUCUCGACACUAGACAAUUGUGUGAUAACUUGAUUAAUUAAGACUUAAAGAAAACGAGAUCAUUGGUUUCAAAUGCAAAAACAGAAAAUUAAAUAUCGAUGCAGUUUGAUCGAUAGCAGAGUAGCAUAAUGAUGAACGAAUGUUGUUUAAUACGUCAUAUGCACAAGGAAUUCAUUUUUUUUUUGUUUGAUUAAAAGAAAAAAGAAUAUAACCAAAAAGACACUUUGGAAGUCUAAAGAAAAUCAUUUUCCCAUAUAUCAUUUAAGUAGACUGCCUUUAAUUAUUGAAGCCCAUAUCAACCCUUUUCCCAACAGUAAUUAUUUAAGUAGACAUCAAUUUAUAAAAUUUCUUGUAACAACAGUUGUGUUAACUUGUAACAACUCCAAGGCCUUUCAAAACGCUACUACUUCAAAUCAUAAAAUUCAUAAACUCCUUCUAGGAAUUAAUAGAGGAAGUUGAAUAUUUUCAAAAUCGACGUGUUAUUUCAAGUUAAAAAGGAAAAAGAAAAAAACGAUAAAAGAAAAAAAAAGGAGAGACCUUUGCCGUAAUAUUAAAUAAUACGUCGACUUCCCUUUGUUGGACGUUCAUAUCUUAAUAUUACGUCGAUUAGCUUUAUUAUUCGACGUAAUAUUGGUGUUUUAAAAAGAAAUAAUAACAUAUAAUGUUGCAUGCAAUGUAAUGGUGUAAAAUUAAAAUGGAUAAUUGCAAUCAUAAAAAUGAUUUAAUCAUAUUUAAUCAUUUUAAACAAUUCAAUCACCGUUCACUAAUGUUUCCCAAAAGAGAAUUUCAUUAAUACUCAAGAGAUGAUUUCAAAACAUCCCACCUAAAAUAGAAUUUCAUUACUAAAUAGAAUAGAAUAAAAGAUUAUAAAAAAAAAGUCUAACUCAACAUUCCACCUAUAAUUUUCACACGAGUUUUUAAUAUUAUCAUCAUCAUCUUCAGUAUCCACUAUUUCCCAAGAAAUAGACUUCUUCAUUCUCCAACCACUACAUUGUCUCUGGGAACAUAAAGGACUUGGAUUGCGCAACAGUGUUCCAUGAGGUUUUCUCCAUACAUUACCCAACAAAGUUACUAAUUUAUUUCUACAUCUUACAACAUAGUUGACAUUUCUCAAAAAUUGCAUAUAGUCAACCACUGCUUUUCUUAAAUCACUAUCGUAUGAACAUAAUAAGAUCAAACCAUAUACAUAUUUUGCUUCAAGAUAACCUCUUUUGGUAGCCAUUUUCAAGUCAUUAAUGCCUUUUUCAAUAUUUCCCUUAUAUCUAAUUAUUUCUCUUAAUCUCUCUCUAUACAAAGCUUCAAUAUUUCCACCCUCUUUACAACUUUGCAUGAAAAUAUCAAAUGCCCUUGCUUCUUUACAUGACCAUGAAAUCAACGAAAACUUUUCUAAAGAAAUUUGUUGCCACAUAUAAUUGUCUUUUAUGGCAUGCAAAAAAUCUCUACAACAUACUUUCAUAUUGUAAUGAUCAAUCCAAGAUUCAGAACUUACCUUUGCAACCACAUUAAGCAAUAAGUCUGUGGGAAGUGGUUUGAUUGGAAAAAUUGUAGAAUUGUCAUCUUCUGUGCGUUGUCUUUUGUUAUCUCUUUGAACUGAUUCUUCCAUUACAAUGAAAUGAGCAGACUCGUGGCUUUCAUGACAUUGUCUCUUGUUUCAUUGUGUCUUCUUCAUCAAUUUUGAAGUUGUCAUGUUUACUAUGCGGUUCAGCAAAUUUGAGUUAGCCUUUUACUUCUGAAAUGUCCAAGUAUUACAACGUACUAUUGGUGGUUUUUAAAUUGAAACGUCCAAGUAUUAAAACUCUUCGUUUACUGUUGGAUUAAAAAUGGAGUAAUUCUUCAUUUAUUGUUUGAUUAAAAAGAAAAAAGAAUUAAAAAGGGAGAAACUCUUCGGCUUCUAACAGACAAAUAAUAUGUCAAUCCCCAAAGAAUUCGACGUAAUCUUGGUGGUUUAAAAGAAAAAAGAAAAAAGAAUUAAAAGGGGGGUAACUCUUUGGCUUCUGGUUCACAAUAAUACGUGCAUGGCUUUAGAUAUGGACAUACUAUUUGUGUUUUAAAAAAAAUAAAUAAAAGAAUGACGCGUUGGUUUAAAUAUUUACCGUCAAUGAACGUCGAGUUUUAUGGGGCUUCGAUGUUUUAAUUUAAACUUCCAAGUAUUUCAACUAUAGAAUGUGGAGUUGUAAUGGUAUAGGACAUGUUAUGUCGAAGUUAUAUUGAAACUAAAUAAAUAUAUUUCUGAACUUUUAUUGAAAUAGUAACCUUUCCGUAUACCUCUAGAUCCUAUUCUCAAAUGGCUUCUUCAUCUUCACGGCGUGGAAAUAAGGCUGCACAAGUUGUAAGAAAUGUUAGUCCAAAUGGGUGGAUAAGUGAUAACGAAACACGAUACAAAUUUGGAUGAUAUAGAAAAUUCUUCCAAGUGGUCCAUCACAAGUACAUGGAUCUGGAAUUAUUCAAAAAGCAAGGGUUUCCUUUUCAAGAUUGGCUUGUAGAUGUUGGUCUUGCAAAAUUUGUAGAAAUGAGCGGUGAUUUCUAUCCUCACCUGGUAGAAGUGUUCUACCACAGUCUGAAGGUUGUCGAUGGUGUUAUAUGCUCUCGGGUGAAAGGUGUCGAUAUUAAAAUUGAUGGUGAAAUAUGGCUAUCUUUUACCGGUCUCAAAGCACAAGGUUUCAGGUCUCAUGAAAGAAAUUUUGAACUCAACCAAUGGACCAACAAGAAGAAGAUUUAUAAGGAAUUUAUGAGAAAUCCAAAAGGACUGAAGGUAUACAAGCCGUAUCUACUUGAUGGUUUGAAAAUGGAAGAAAAAUUGUGUGCUUUGGUACUUACUUGGGUAAUACUACCUGGAAGAUAUAUACGUGAUCGUCUAACUACUGAAGAUUUAUUUUUGGUUCAUGCCAUAAAAACACGGAUACCAACCAACUGGGUUGCUGUUAUGAGUGAGCACAUGAUUGAAAUUGCAAGUAGGUAUGGACAUAAUUUGUCAUAUGGUGUUUUUAUCAGCAGUGUAUUGAAGCUUCAUUAAGUUGAUCUUACUGGUGAAAAAAAAAAUGGAUGCACCAAAUCAAAUGAAAUAGGAAAAGCGGCAUUGACCUUUAAUGGUCUAAAGAAAACAAAAGAUGGUUGGGUGUUCAAGGAUGUUGACGAAACUCCUCCUACCUUCACUCCACACACUGAGUUUGAAAGAUUUGUUGGGGAUCGAUUUCGAAGGCUUUCAACGAGAAUUUCAAAUGUUGAAAAUUCUUUGAUCAUGAUUCAUAACAAAUUACAUGAAGACAAUUUAGUUGAAACCACAAUGAGUGAAUUUGAUGAUGAAGACGACACAACAGAAGACGAGUCUAUGGAGACAUCUGACUCAGAUUAGGAAGAAGAGUCCAUUUUAGUUUAUUUUUCUUAAAUUAAUGAAAUAUUUUAAUAUAUUUUAGUUUUUUUUUUCUAUGUUUGAACUCUGUUUGAAAUUUUAGUAUAUACUUUUCGUGGUUAUAUUUUCAUAUUUUUCCUAUAUUUGGUGUUAUUUUGCUUUUCUUAUGUUUUUGUUUGGUUUAAUAAACCCUCAGUUGGCAUUGUGCAUUACAUUCAAGGUGAUCCACGUGGAAUAAUAAUAAUGUUGGUAGCCAGUGUUUUAUGUUCGUGUUCGUCUUCAGGAGGAAGGAGUUCUCGAAGCACUAUGCAACUGAGGAAAUGUCUCGUUCAUCUUCGUCUUGAAAGUGUUUGGGUUCGGACUUCCAAUACAGUAGUGGCAGCGUUAGGAGGUUGGGUGUAAAACCCACUUGCUUUUGUGGUCACAUUGCAGUUUUACGCAUUGCGAGAACCCCUAAAGCAAGGGCAAAAAGUUAUGGGGUUGCCCUAACUUCAAGGUCAGUUUAAUAUAAGCAUAAAUGUUUAUUUAUCUUUUUGAGUUUUGACGAGAGAGUGUGCCUAUAUUCGUUCAAUAGGGUGAGGGCGAAGAUUUCGUUGGCUGCAACUUCUUUCACUGGUGUAGUGAAGAAGCAAUAGAAGAAGGAAAUGUGUUGUAUGGAGAAGAAAUGAGUAGAAGUGGAAGAAAUGAACAAGCAUGUGGAAGUUUGAUGAUGGAACAAAGUGUAACGAAGAUGGAAGAGGCUGAUGAUGAAAAGAUGAAAAUAGCUUGUUUAGAGAAAAGUGUUGUUAUGUUCGAAAAGUGGUUGAAGGUGUUAUUGGGGAUGGUAUUUGUUAUGUGUUUUUAAUGUAAUUUUAAUAUGUAUGUUGAUGAAACUUGGUUGAUCUCUCCAUACAAGUUGUUAUAUUGUAAUUUGCUAAUGUUAAAAUGUGUUUUAUUUAUAAAGCUGAGUGAUUAGUGUUUAAAACUGUGUAAUUUGAUUUCUUUACUUGAAAUGGAAGUUUUUUUGAAAUCUUUGAAUCUUUUAACAUCGAACUCUACAAAUAAAUGACGUUUUAAAAGGAGUGAAAACCAAAGAAAAUAAUGUUAACUUUUUAUUUUGGUUUUCACCCUAAGAAAUCAUAUAGCUCUGAAAUCUAACAGUAAAAAACAACUUCAAAACAAUUUAAAAAGAGAAUCAUACAUUGCAAAAAGAUGAAGUUAAACAACUUUUUUUAUAAAUUGAUUUUAGUUCUCAAAAUUGUUUCAGCAUGAAACAUAUUGUGAACCAUAUUUCUUUUUCCUCGACAAUUCUCUUUCAGUAAGAUAACUUAAUCAUUUAUGUACUAUAAAAAGCAUUUUGUUCAGUUGAAUGUCAAAGGGUCACCUUCAUAUGAAUUGAGACAUGAAUGAGGCACUAUUCCACCAAGAAAAUUGCAAUUUAAAGAACAGACAUGUUUCAAAAUAUAGAGAAAGAAAAGUGCCUAGGAGAUAAAAAAACAUGAGUCGUAAUAUGUUCAAUAUGUAAACAGGACGAAUGGAAUAAUAAGAAAAGCACGUGUAUAUUUAUAGAUGAAAUGAUGUCGUCAAACUUCCACAGAAUUGUCGUGCAAUAUCAUUUCAUCAUGAAAAAAGCAGUACAUCGAGUAAUUAUACCAAAGUUCGACGUUCAAACAUCAUUCAGAGACAAAGUAAAAAAUCUCUUUGGAUACUGAUAUGACCUUCUUGCUACUGAUAUAACCUCCUUGUUGACGAAAAAUAUGUCGAAGAACUAGGAGUUUUGAUGUUAAAGUUCGGGUUGAAAAGGAAAAAAGUAAAAGUAAAAAAAAAGUAGAGCGACCUUUGGCUUCUUGAUGAAGAAUAAAACGUCAAAGACACGUAGAAUUCGACAUAAUAUUAGUGCUCGGUUAAAACCACACAAUUAAUGGUGCCCCAAGCACUCAUGUGCUCGUCACGUCAACACUACCAAAUGUUGUGACGUUCUAUUGCAAAUAUAUCAUCCAUCGUUUAAUAUUGGACUAAAAGAAAAAUGAAAUGAAAGAGAGUAACCGAAGAAAUAGGUUAACAGAUUUGGAUUUCAUCUCAAGUUGUACCAUUCGAAAACCUUCCCUAACCAAAUUCAUGUUAUCUUUUUUUCCUUUGUUUUGUCGUCAUUCCUUCACUAAACCAAGACAUUUCUUUGUUAAAGAUGAAGGUAUGGUGGAAAAUAGAGGAAAAUGUUAACACUUAUGAAUUUUAAGUAAACCCUUUGAAAACCUAUCCUACAUAACUUCCGCAACCAAAUUCAUGUUAACUUUUUCCUUUGAUUUCCCAUCAAUUCCUCCUCUAAACGAAGUCAUUUCUUUUUUAUCCAUGAAGGCAUGGCAGAAAACCAUAGGAAAAUAUUAACAUUUAUGAAUUUCAAAAACAUUCUCCAUUAUUUUGAUUGUUUUUAAUUAUAUUUUUUACAUUCUGUUUUUGGUUAUAAUGUACUUCAUCAUCUUCGGUCUUCAUUUUUUAUGUUGUGAUUUGUAAAUUGGAUUUCAUUUUGAAAUCCUCUAAGAUACGAGACGUCAGUUAUCUCAAAAAAAAAAUGACGACUAUCUCCGGGCCCUUGCAUCGAAUGUACUCAAUAUUCGACGUCAACUGUAUAAAUUGAAGUUGUUUCCACCACGGGAAAUCAGAAAGCUCUGAAUUCUAAUGGUAGAAAACAACUCCAAGCCAUUUAAAACAUGAACCGUACAUUGUUAAAGGAUGAAGUUGAACAACUUUUUUAUAUCAUUAUUUUAGUUCUCAAAGUUGUUCCAGCAUUAAACAUAUUGUGAACCAUAUUUCUUUUUCCUAAGCACUUUCCUUUCAGUAAGAUAACUUAAUCAUUUAUGUACUAUAAAAAGCAUUUUGUUNNNNNNNNNNNNNNNNNNNNNNNNNNNNNNNNNNNNNNNNNNNNNNNNNNNNNNNNNNNNNNNNNNNNNNNNNNNNNNNNNNNNNNNNNNNNNNNNNNNNNNNNNNNNNNNNNNNNNNNNNNNNNNNNNNNNNNNNNNNNNNNNNNNNNNNNNNNNNNNNNNNNNNNNNNNNNNNNNNNNNNNNNNNNNNNNNNNNNNNNNNNNNNNNNNNNNNNNNNNNNNNNNNNNNNNNNNNNNNNNNNNNNNNNNNNNNNNNNNNNNNNNNNNNNNNNNNNGAACCAUAUUUCUUUUUCCUAAGCACUUUCCUUUCAGUAAGAUAACUUAAUCAUUUAUGUACUAUAAAAAGCAUUUUGUUCAGUUGAAUGUCAAAGGUCACCUUCAUAUGAACUGAGACAUGAAUGAGGCACUUUUACAUUCAACCGGGCAUAAUGCAAUUUAAAGGACAGACAUGUUACGAAAUCGAAGGAAAGGGAAAAGGCUUAGAGAUAAAAAACAUGAAUCCUAAUAUGUUCAAUACGGAAACAGGAAGCAAGUCAUUACUUGAUAUUCAAGCCAAAUUUAUAGAUGAAAGUAGAGAAUGUCGGAUUCGACGUUCAAACAUCAUCCAGUGAAAAAGUUAAUAAUAAAUCUCGUUUGUUUCAGAUAAGAACAAAUUGACCCAUAACAUCGAAUGACAAGGGAGUGGGACGUUUAAUUUGAGGAAUAAAUAGUAAAAUUAAAAAAAUAAUAAAUAAUUGACGACCUUUGUCUUCUGGUUGAGGAAGACAUCAACUGUAAUUAUAGAUGAUUUACAUUGUGUAAUAAUGCUUAGUGGUUAUAUUUAUAGAUGAACCGAUGACGUACAUCGUGUGAUAGUGCUCAGUAACUGACUAACACCAUCUCGUAUGGACGUCGAAGCCCUGCCCAGUUUGACGUUCAUACAUCAAUCAUAGAAAAAAUAAUAUAUUUUGUUUGAUUCAUACAAUGACAAAUUGAGUACCUGCCCACAAGAAAUUGUGUACUUUUCAAUUAUCGAGGUGAGAUUUGGAGGGAUGGAAUGGAGGUUAAAAAGUUUGAUGUGCCCCUCUGUAUUUAUAUAAUUCCACUUUAAAUUUUGCUAAGUUAAUAUGGUCGAUUCUAAAUAAUAAUAAUAAUCGAUUCAAAGCGUUAUAAAUUAAGAAAUGCAAAUUAGCUUUUAAUGAUGAUUUAUGGUGACAACGUGGUUGGUUAUUGAUCACACGAUUUGUUUAAAUAUUAAAAAGCAUAGAAAUAAUGAGUGAGAGAGUUCAAAUUUGUUUUUCUAAUAAUGUUAAUCAUUGUAUUUUAUUUAUAUUAAUAACUUAUUAUAACUAUUGAAUGUUUCAAAGUAACUUAUUUAAAUGUGACCAAAUUUUUGUUUUAAGAGUUCAUUUCAAUUUUUAUCUUCGUUGUGGACUUUUUAUAUUUCACUUUUUAUCUUCGUUUCAAUUGGUCCUUUUCAAAUGGAUAAUGAUACUUAGACAACAUUUUUUUACAAUAUUUGAACAUCAUCUACGUGUCAUUUUGUGAUUGGUCCAAAAUUACUUCACAAUCAAUAAUAAUAAUCAUAAAUAUCACCAUGGACCAAUCAUAGAAUGACACGUAGAUGAUGUUAAAAUGUUGUCAAAAAAAUGUUGUCUAAGUAUCAUUAUCCUUAAUAAUUAAUAGAAUUGUAGGUUGUACAAUCAUAACCUGGCCUGACCAUCUCGAGUAUUUGCUUCGAUUGGAGGUUGAUAAGAAAGAGAUGGAGACGCCAUAAAAAAGAUGUUAAUCUUUCUAAGAAUCAUUCUAAACCAAUAACCAAAAUGAAAAUGCAUAUUAUAACUUCCAAAGUGACUACAUAUGUAUUUGGUGCCCUACAUACAGGUAUAAAUGUUUAAGGCACCUAAGAAACCCUAAAAGAAAGUCCAAUGACAUUCGAUCGACCUUCAACUUAUACUUAUGUUAGUUUGUCUCGACCUUUAGUCUAAAUCACCCAUCCCAACAUUCAUUUAUAGGGUCAACCAGUCUCGACCGUUAAUCAAACUUAACCUGCCUUAAUCUUCGACCCAACUCAUUUAGUCUUGUACAUCAAUAAAACCUGACAACUCUAGAUACACAUUGUCUCUUCUUGAUCUUUGGCUUUUGGUUUGAUGCAUCUCAAUUGUUAACUUGUCUCAAUCUUUUCUACUAACUCUCAAUUUUUGUAAACAAUAAUCUAUCUUCACCUUCAGUUUAUCACUCAACUUCAUCCUUAUUGAAAUUUAAAGUAUUAUUUUUUAAAAUCAAUUAAAGUCUUUUAAUAUAAUCAUACCUAUCUUUUAGUUCGGAUUUAAAAAAACAUUCAUUUCACAUAACUUUUAAUCAUAUAAUAAUAUUUAUUAUGAUAUUAAUUAUUAUAACUAAAACUAAAUUCUCAUAAAUUAUUGUUAUUAUUAUUAUUUUUUAUAUUUUAUAAAUUUUUAUUCUCUUUAAAUUUCAGCAACAAAUCUUUCUUAUAUUUUAUAAUACGUAAAUAUUACAAGAUAAAUUUACACAAAUUCAUAAAAUAAAAAUUUAAAAAGAAAUAUGUAAAUCAUAUCUUAAAAUAUAAUGGUAACGGGAGGUUAUGGGCGGUUUAAAUGAAAAAAGGAAACAAAAGGGCGGGGGUAAAGGGAGGUUAUGGGCGGUUUAAAUGAAAAAAGAAACGAAAAGGCAGGAGACUGAACAAGAAAACGUCAAAUGUCAAAAAUAUUCAACGUAUAACAUGUGUUUUUUUUUCAAUUUAUAGGUCAAAGGUAGUAUAAUUUGGCGUAUCGUUUGUAUUUUUAAACCACGGAAUUUGAGAUAGACGUUCUGAGAAUUAUAUUCAGACAUGGCUUCUUCAUCAUCAUCAUCAUCAAGAAGAAAAGAGAAGGUUGUCCGGGUUACAAGAAACGCAAACCCAUCUGGAUGGAUAAGUGAUGAAGAGAUCCGAGUAAAGUUUUUAUACUGGAGACAUUUAAAAAUUGUAGUUCCUCACAAGUAUCUCGACCUGCCAUUGUUCAAGAAAGAAGGUUUUGUUUUUCAAGAAUGGAGUGCAUAUCAAGGGCUUACUAAUUUUGUCCAGAUGAAAGGAAAUUGCUAUCCAGAUUUGGUAGAGGUUUUCUACACAAACCUGAGAGUUGUAAAUGGGGUCAUUCACUCGAGGGUCAAAGGGGUUAACAUUACUAUUGACGAUAAUACUUGGUCAAAUCUUGCUGGUUUGAAAGUUGAGGGUUUGGCUUCUCAAAUCUUGUUGAGUCAAACAUGUGACUAAAAAAGAGAGCUAUAUAUGUAAACUGCUUAAGAUAUCCAGGAAGGUACAGGGUGGAUAAGCAGUAAUGUCCUGACUUGGCUAUUGCUGCCUGAAAGAUUGAACGAGGACAGAAUGUCAACAGAAGAUGUAUUUCUAUUGAAUGUUAUCAAGACUAGAAUCACAACCAACUGGGUUGCAGUUCUCAAAGACCACAUGAUCGCUGCAGGAGAUGAUUAUGCACACAAAUUGCCAUAUGGAGUAUUUCUCAGCAAUGGGUUGGAACUCCACGGAGUAUAUGUAUCUGAAGAAGAAAGAAUUGUGUGCAAAAGGUCACAAAAAAUUGGUGUACCAAGUCUGUCAUCUAUUGGGAUGAAAAGGACUGAUAAUGGAUGGUUCUUCACUGAUGAGCAAUGGAAUCUUCUUGAUAAUAAUGGGGACUACUUUUCUAUGUUUUUUUCUUUUUAAUUUUGUAAUCAUGGCUAUUAAGCCCCCGCUAGUUUUUCCAUUUCCAUCGGUUUUAUUUAGAAAUACAAUGAAGAUUUAUUUUAGCAAAAAAUGAUCAAAAACUGAUCACUGGUUAAAAGUGAAAAUUUCAGUACAAUGCUAACUUGAAUCAAUUAAGGAGGAAGUAAAAAGAAAAAAAUUUCAUCUCUUAUUUUAAAGAAAAAAGAAUAUAAAGUUCACCACCCUCUUGUAUUGGUGGAAGAAAAUCAAACGUCGAAGACCUAUCAAAUACGACGUCGAAGACCUUUGCAAUUGAAAAGCACGCCAUGGAACGUCGAAGGCUCUCGGGCUUUGACGUUUUAUUUUUUUCUCAAAAUUAUUUCAUCAUUAAACAUAUUGUAAACCAUAUUUCUUUUUCCUCAUAACUUUCCUUUCAGUACCAUAACUUAUUUACGGUGUAGACUAUAAAAAGCAUUUUGUUAUUGACUAAGUCCUGAAUGCGGCACUUUAUUUAGGGUGUAGACUAUGUUUAAGAACAUUAAUUUCACAUAUCUUUUAAUAAUUAAAUAAAAUUUAUUUUUGUAUCGAGUGUACUCAAAGUUCAACGUCAACGGUGUAAAAAGAUUCCAAAUUUAAAUUGUCCGUAAGUUGUCUCUUCUCUUAGAAAUCAGUAGCUCUGAAAUCAAACAGAGGAGUACCACUAAUGGAUAAUUUGAAAAAGGAAACAUACAUUGUUGAAUGAUGAAGUUGAACAACUUUUGUUUUUAGAGCUUAAAAUUGUUUCAGCACUAAACAUAUUGUGAACCAUAUUUCUUUUUCGUAAGCACUUUCCUUUUAGUAAGAUAUCUUAACCAUUUUUGUACUAUAAAUAAAAACAUUUUGUUAACUUGAACUGGAAAGGGCUCCUUCAUACAAAAUGGCGAUGAAUGAAUCACUUCCAAGUUAAAGUUAUCAAAUUGCAAUAUGAAGAACAAAGAUGCUUAGAAAUCUAAUGAAAAGAAAGUGAAAACAAAAUGAAAACUAUGAAUCCUAAUAUGUUUAAUAUGGAAACAGGAGGCAAGGGAAUACGUGAAAUGCAAGCUAUAUUUAUAGAUGAACCGAUGACGUACAUCGUGUGAUUAUACUUAGUAACUGCCACACGCCACCAUCUUGUAAGAACGUCGAAGCCCUGCAGAAUUCGACGUUCAAACAUCAUUCAAAGAAAAAGUAAUAGAUCUUGUUUCAUUCACUUACAUAGUGUAAUUAUGCUUAGUAACCGCCAAUGUGUAUGAACUCUGAAUCCUAGCCGAAAACGAUGUUCAAACAUCAUUCAGAGAAAAAGUAAUAAUUGUAGUUUAAUUCAGAAACUUUUAUUCUAACAUACCAAAAAAAAAACAUUUAAUAUUGUGCAUUUAAUAAACUUUAUUAUUUCGAUAAUAAUUAUUAAAUUAAUAACAAAAAUAAUAAAACUAAAAUUAAUAAUAAAAUAAUAAAAAUAAUAUAAAAUGUUAUUUAAUAUAUUAUAAAAUAUUAAAUCAUAUUAAAAUAAUAAAAUAAAAUAGUUAUUUAUUAAUUUUAAUUUAAAAACAAAAUUUAAAGAAAUGUUAAACAGUUUUUCAAGUUUAACAUAUUUUUAAAAUUUUUUUAUUUAAAUUUUAAUUAAUAAUUAACUUAUUUUAAUAUUUUAAUAUAAUUUUCAUACAUGUUUGUUAAAGAUUCUACAUUGUGAAAGACGUUCCAAGAUUUCUAUUCAGACAUGGCUUCUUCAUCAUCAUCGUCAAGAAGAAAAGAGAAGGUUGCCCGGGUUACAAGAAACGCAAACCCAUCUGGAUCGAUAAGUGAUGAAGACACCCGAGGAAUGUUUUUAUACUGGAGACGAUUAUGAUAUUGAUCAAAAACUGAUUAUGAUAUUGAUCAAAAAAGAAAAGAUUUCAUGUUUGAUUUUAAAUUCAAAAAAGAGUGCCACAUUUUGAUAUUGGUAGAAGAAAAAAACAUCAAAGCCAUAUUGAAUACAACGUUCUAUUAAGCACACCAUUAAUGGUCCUAACAUACUUUAAUUCCCUUCAUGUCCCAGCCCCGCAGCCUUCGAUGUUUUAUGGCAGGAAUGAAAAGAAAAGACAUUGAAAAGUACGAUACUUUCUGAUAUUGGCGGCUAAUUAAGAGAAAAUGUCAAAUUCCCAGACAAUACGACGUUGUAUUUAAUGCGCCUGUUUUUUACUGGAAAUGUUGGAUUAUUUCUGUCUGCGACGUGGUUUUUAAAUAUAACGCCAAGUGUGUCUUGUAUUCGACGUGGAAUAUGAAGUUAAAAACAUAACACGCCCUCACUAUUUGUUUGCGCUACCAUUUCUGCUUGAAAUUUCUUCUACGUGGAUGACUGCGAUAAAGAAAGAAGCUUAUGUUUAAUCUUUUCUGUUUUUGUAAAUUCAUUUUGUUCCCAUUUCUAAGGUUCACCGAAUGUUUUUCGUUUAUCUUUAGGUUGUGUUUCAUACGUGGUCAGCGAACUUCAACAUAUUCUCCAGUGACACCAUUUCAAGUAUGUUUUUUUUUAUCUUUAAUAUCUCAUACGUAUGAUGUAUGUGCUCGUGUUUGUGUUGUGUUUUUUGAUUCUUGACGUAUGGUAUAUGUACAAUUGUUUAUUUUUUUCCUUCAACGUAUGAUAUUUGUGUUCGUUCGUUGUUAGCGAACUUCGUCAUUUUCUCUAGUAUCACCAUUUUGUUGUCUGUUCUAACUAUAAUUUACUAACUUUGUAAACAGGUAUGACGAGCUCUAGAUCGGGUCAGACGGGAGGAGGUGGUAGAUCUGUGACUCGGAUGCCUGGUGUCACCUCCUGUCGGGUUAAUGAUAAACCAGAGCCGGUGGAGUUUGAUCCUAAAACAUUUGUGGCUAUAGGGGAACAUGCAACAGAGUUUAAGAGUUACUUGGGCACGCUGGCAAGAUUUCAUGUCCUAUUCUCGCUACCCGGUUGGGUGAUGUGUCACAAGUUGACAAAAAUCUACUAUGGCAGGAUGUUUUGGUAUGUUUAAGUUGUUUUACUUCCAUCAUUGACUUAUUUUCGUUGAACAUGCUUUAACAUUAAUUUUCAUUUUAAAAAGGAAAAUUAGGUUAUUCCUGAUGAUGAGAGGAUAAGGAAGAAGAUUUUAUCCCAAAUUGCAACCCGAUGGAGGGACUUCAAGAUGACAAUGACACGUAAAUUCGUCUUUGGCUCUAAACAGAACGAAACUCCCUGUACAAGGUAUAAAAUAUCUUAUGAGGCGUGGGUGCAAUUUAAAGAAUCUAGACUUACUCCUGAAUGGCAGGUAUCACUACAAGAAAAAACCUAUUUACAUACAGAUUAUUAUAUACGGAUUUAGAUCUGUAUAUAAUGAAACUGUUACCUACCGAUAUUUUAUACGACUGCUAAAAAACAAUAAAAAAAGUUAAAAGAAUUUAACUCUAAGUGAAAUGCAAAGAAUUGGAAAGAUCUUAGAGUCAUUCUACAACUUUCCCUCCUCUCAGCUUUCCCUCUCAUCUCUUUCCUAAUCACAAAUCGUCAUCAAGCCAUUAUUCAUUGUCUCUUCUUCUCAUCGAACUGUUCUUCUGGAGCAUUUUCCCUCCAUCAGCCUCUUCGUCGAUCUAUCAGCCUCUCGUCGAACCAUUUAUGGAGUUCUCAUCCUGCGACCAUGGAACUUUUGUUGUCGUCUUCAUCAUUUUCUCUCUCGAGCGCUUCUCAGCCAUCCACAUUUUCUUCAGAGAUUCACAGGUUUGUUCAUCACAAAAUCACUUCAUUAUGGUCAAAUCUCCAUUUCUUCCUUCUAUUUUUACUUCCAUAUACAAAACCACCUCCAAAUCCUAGGGUUUCGUCCUCCUCUUCAUUUUUCCUUCAUUUUUAACCAAUUAAAAUCACUUUUUUACUAUUAAAACCAUUUCUACUGUUUGUCCUUCGAUUUCCACCAAUUUAACCUCCAUUUUCAUCGUUUAAACAAUUUUGUACCGAUCAAUCUUACGUUUGAACCGAUUAAUCGGUUCAUAUUGAGUUUCUUUCCCUUUGUAGGGUUCCUUCGGCCCAGAUUAGGGUUCGUCAUCCAUUUUUGAGCUUUUCCCCAAUCAUUUUGGCUUCAAUUUAUUCGUUUAGGGUUUUUUAACAUUUUCUUCCGUUUAUUCUUUGUUUUGCUCUCGAUGUCUCAUUAUUCCGCUGCGUUUGCUCAUCAAGAAGCUUCUAUCAAGUGGCCGCAAAAUCAAUCACACCCAAUGGCGUUUCGGUGCUCCUCGCCAACCCUUUCCUAGAUUCUUUGUCGGAUCUUCCCGACAUUGUUGUUCAAAUAGUUGAUCUCAAGCCCAGCGGAAACAGAUACAUGUUUGUUCUCUCUAACCUACACGUUUCGUUACUCUUCCCCUUUUAGUUUUUGUUUCGGAUCUAUAAUUUCCUGCAAUUUUUUUUACUGUAUUUAUUUUUUGUGGCAGCUUGCUGAAAUAAUGAUUCAGGUGAAGUGAUCUAGUUUUUAAUUAUUUGACCUACUUUUAGAAUUCAAGCCUAAUUUUUCUGAAAUUCAAUAAUGAAUUGUUAAUUCUAUUUCAUUCUACAGGUUUACUCAAAGGUGAGUGGAGAAAAAAAUCCUGAAACCCCAACUAUUGAUGUGAGCUCAAAAGAAUUUUAUGGUGAGGGAUACGAUGACAGUGACAAGAGAAUUCCUGACAUGAUCAUAAUAAACAAGCAGCUUGGUAAGUUUCCUCACUUUCUCACUCUAUUUGACCUUCUAAGAAUGUAUCUUACUUGACCUGAUUGAUAAUUUGCCAGGUUGAAAUCCUAAGACUUCGCUCUUCGACCUGCUGGAAUCCACUCUAACCUAUCAGCACAGGACAUAUGCUGAAGCCAUCAAGAAAGUAAUUGCAAAACCCGUUGCAAGUUAAGCUUUUACAGGGAUGAUGAUUUGCUAUCUUGGAGAAGGGUGUCGUUGCGUAAGUUUCUGCCAUAUUUCACUGGUUGAUUUUAUAUAAAUGGUAAAUUUUCUUCCUUUUGGUUUCCUUAGCCAGCAGUAGGCAAUAACUCACAUAAGUCAUUGCCUUAAUGUAUGUUCUGGAGAAGUAGGAAUUUAUAUAUAGGGAAAUCUAUNNNNNNNNNNNNNNNNNNNNNNNNNNNNNNNNNNNNNNNNNNNNNNNNNNNNNNNNNNNNNNNNNNNNNNNNNNNNNNNNNNNNNNNNNNNNNNNNNNNNNNNNNNNNNNNNNNNNNNNNNNNNNNNNNNNNNNNNNNNNNNNNNNNNNNNNNNNNNNNNNNNNNNNNNNNNNNNNNNNNNNNNNNNNNNNNNNNNNNNNNNNNNNNNNNNNNNNNNNNNNNNNNNNNNNNNNNNNNNNNNNNNNNNNNNNNNNNNNNNNNNNNNNNNNNNNNNNNNNNNNNNNNNNNNNNNNNNNNNNNNNNNNNNNNNNNNNNNNNNNNNNNNNNNNNNNNNNNNNNNNNNNNNNNNNNNNNNNNNNNNNNNNNNNNNNNNNNNNNNNNNNNNNNNNNNNNNNNNNNNNNNNNNNNNNNNNNNNNNNNNNNNNNNNNNNNNNNNNNNNNNNNNNNNNNNNNNNNNNNNNNNNNNNNNNNNNNNNNNNNNNNNNNNNNNNNNNNNNNNNNNNNNNNNNNNNNNNNNNNNNNNNNNNNNNNNNNNNNNNNNNNNNNNNNNNNNNNNNNNNNNNNNNNNNNNNNNNNNNNNNNNNNNNNNNNNNNNNNNNNNNNNNNNNNNNNNNNNNNNNNNNNNNNNNNNNNNNNNNNNNNNNNNNNNNNNNNNNNNNNNNNNNNNNNNNNNNNNNNNNNNNNNNNNNNNNNNNNNNNNNNNNNNNNNNNNNNNNNNNNNNNNNNNNNNNNNNNNNNNNNNNNNNNNNNNNNNNNNNNNNNNNNNNNNNNNNNNNNNNNNNNNNNNNNNNNNNNNNNNNNNNNNNNNNNNNNNNNNNNNNNNNNNNNNNNNNNNNNNNNNNNNNNNNNNNNNNNNNNNNNNNNNNNNNNNNNNNNNNNNNNNNNNNNNNNNNNNNNNNNNNNNNNNNNNNNNNNNNNNNNNNNNNNNNNNNNNNNNNNNNNNNNNNNNNNNNNNNNNNNNNNNNNNNNNNNNNNNNNNNNNNNNNNNNNNNNNNNNNNNNNNNNNNNNNNNNNNNNNNNNNNNNNNNNNNNNNNNNNNNNNNNNNNNNNNNNNNNNNNNNNNNNNNNNNNNNNNNNNNNNNNNNNNNNNNNNNNNNNNNNNNNNNNNNNNNNNNNNNNNNNNNNNNNNNNNNNNNNNNNNNNNNNNNNNNNNNNNNNNNNNNNNNNNNNNNNNNNNNNNNNNNNNNNNNNNNNNNNNNNNNNNNNNNNNNNNNNNNNNNNNNNNNNNNNNNNNNNNNNNNNNNNNNNNNNNNNNNNNNNNNNNNNNNNNNNNNNNNNNNNNNNNNNNNNNNNNNNNNNNNNNNNNNNNNNNNNNNNNNNNNNNNNNNNNNNNNNNNNNNNNNNNNNNNNNNNNNNNNNNNNNNNNNNNNNNNNNNNNNNNNNNNNNNNNNNNNNNNNNNNNNNNNNNNNNNNNNNNNNNNNNNNNNNNNNNNNNNNNNNNNNNNNNNNNNNNNNNNNNNNNNNNNNNNNNNNNNNNNNNNNNNNNNNNNNNNNNNNNNNNNNNNNNNNNAUAUAAUUUUAGAAAUUAAUUUUGUAAAGAUAACUUUUAUUUUAGAACUAUAAAUAAAAUAUAAAAUUAUAUAAAAUCAAACUUUAAUUUUUUUUUAAAUAAUUAACAUUUUGUUUAAUAAUUUUAGAAAUUCUCAUUCAUAGAUUUUAAACUAUGAUUUUGCUAUCCAUUUCAUCAUAAAGAAAUAAUUAAGUACAAUUAAACACCCGCUCUCCUGAAUGUAUUUUUUUUACUGUGUGUCUGGCUUACUGUUUAGGACAAUUAUUUUUCAUAUCUUAUUGGUAAUAUGAUUUUUGGUGAUAAAGUUUACUUGUCAGUAGGUAUCAAACAAGAAAAGGCUAAGGGUUUGAUGAUAAUGGGAUCGCUCCCGGUUCGGUUCCUAACCUUUAUCCACCAUCCCUCAAGCAUAUGAAGUUGUCAUGGAGGAUGGAAAGUUUUUCUACAAGCAAUCAGGAGAACUCCUAACACCAUUGCAACAUACGAGAUCAAUUUGAUUCAAACUAAGAGACAAUGAUCAAGUACAAGAUAAAGAAUCCUUUAAUUUGCUUUGUUCUUAUUGUAAUUAUUAGUAUUAGAAACAUCCAGACUUUAGUUAUCACUAUGUUUGAGUAAUCAGAUAUUUGAAUUUUAUAGUAUGUGAACUUUAUGUGUGAAAUUAUUAAUCUGAGUUUCUUGGGUUUUGUGGCAA